UAUGUGUAGACAUGAACCUCUUUAAAGUAAGUCUGUAGAACCCUGAAUGUUUAUGGCCCAUAAAUUUAGACCCAUUGGCCAUUUGUAGGUCAGAAAUGUAGACAUUAGUAGAUUUCUGCUAUAAACCUGGUAAACUUAAUCAAGUCAUUCGUUUAGCCUCUUAGAGCCUCCAAUGAAAUAUCAUUGAGAUUACCUGUUCUACUUUUAUGAUUAAGUAUUAAGUGUAAAUGGAAUCAGUGUAAAACAUUCUCACAGCGAAAGUUCUGGUUGUCUUUUGAUUCCAUGUUGGCUACAAUUGAAGCUAUGAAAAGACGAAAUGCUGUGAAAUGUGAAAUUGUUGUAGUAGCGGUGUUAGGAGUGGUUGUGGUAUUGGGUUACAGUAGUGUUGUUAGGAGUGGUUGUGGUUAUUGGUGGUUAUAGUAGCGGUGUUAGGAGUGGUUGUGGUAUUGGUGGUUAUAGUGGUGUUAAGAAAUUGGAUUUGUGGUAUUGAAAUUGUUAGUUACAGUAGCGAUGUUAAGAAUUAGUAGUGGUAUUGGUGGUUAUAGUAGCGGUGUUAGGAGUGGUUGUGGUAUUGGUGGUUAUAGUAAGCGGUGUUAGGAGUGGUUGUGGUUAUUGGUGGUUAUAGUAGCGGUGUUAGGAGUGGUUGUGGUAUUGGUAGUUACAGUAGCGAUGUUAGGAGUGGUAGUGGUAUUGGUGGUUAUAGUAGCGGUGUUAGGAGUGGUAGUGGUAUUGGUGGUUAUAGUAGCGGUGUUAGGAGUGGUAGUGGUAUUGGUAGUUAUAGUAGCGGUGUUAGGAAUGGUUAUGGUAUUGGCAGUUAUAGUAGUGUUGUUAGGAGUGGUUGUGGUACUGGUGGUUAUAGUAGCGGUGUUAGGAGUGGUUGUGGUAUUGGUAGUUAUAGUAGUAGUGUUAGGAGUGGUUGUGGUUAUUGGUGGUUAUAGUAGCGGUGUUAGGAGUGGUUUUGUGGUUAUUGGUGGUUAUAGUAGUCAUUAGAAUUAGUUUAAUGGUAUUGAAUUGGUUAUAAUUGCUUGGUGUUAGGAGUGGUUGUGGUAUUGGUGGUUAUAGUAGCGGUGUUAGGAGUGGUUGUGGUAUUGGUGGUUAUAGUAGUGGUGUUAGGAGUGGUUGUGGUAUUGGUAGUCGUAGUAUUUCCUGGGGACAUGACCAAGUUUUUCUUCUACACCCUAGUUAUUUGUAGA
rnacentral:lncRNA from 1 species